UAACCUAGGGUGUAGGCUUUGCCUGCUAUCUCUUACCCAUGUCUUUUGAGUACCUUACGUUUCCUCGGCGGGUCCGCCCGCCGAUUGGACAAUUUAAACCAUUUGCAGUUGCAAUCAGCGUCUGAAAAAACUUAAUAGUUACAACUUUCAACAACGGAUCUCUUGGUUCUGGCAUCGAUGAAGAACGCAGCGAAAUGCGAUAAGUAGUGUGAAUUGCAGAAUUCAGUGAAUCAUCGAAUCUUUGAACGCACAUUGCGCCCCUUGGUAUUCCAUGGGGCAUGCCUGUUCGAGCGUCAUUUGUACCUUCAAGCUCUGCUUGGUGUUGGGUGUUUGUCUCGCCUCUGCGUGUAGACUCGCCUCAAAACAAUUGGCAGCCGGCGUAUUGAUUUCGGAGCGCAGUACAUCUCGCGCUUUGCACUCAUAACGACGACGUCCAAAAGUACAUUUUUACACUCUUGACCUCGGAUCAGGUAGGGAUACCCGCUGAACUUAAGCAUAUCAAAAGCCGGAGGAA
rnacentral:rRNA from 1 species